rnacentral:misc_RNA from 1 species
AAGUCGUAACAAGGUUUCCGUAGGUGAACCUGCGGAAGGAUCAUUAUAAAAUUUUCAUAUAUUUAAAAUUCAUUUAAUAUAUAAAAUUAUAUACAAAAUGUAUUCAAAACCCACACUCUUUAUAACCAUAAAAAAAUUUAUAUUAUUAUUUAUAAUUAUUAUUUAUAAUAUAAAAAAAAAACAACUUUCAACAACGGAUCUCUUGGCUCUC